CUAUGUACGGAAUGGAUAAGCGCUGAAAGCAUCUAAGCGCGAAGCCAACUUCAAGAUAAGAUUUCCCACCGCAAGGGUAAGACCCCAGAAAGACUAUCUGGUUGAUAGGUCGAAGGUGUAAGUGCAGUAAUGUAUUUAGCUUAUCGAUACUAAUAGGUCGAGGACUUGACCAA
rnacentral:rRNA from 4 species